rnacentral:lncRNA from 1 species
UAUAUAUAUAGAGAGACCCUAGAUUUCAUCGGAGGCGUCAACAUUUACGUUAAAUAUGUGGUAAAAGAUUUUUCUUACAUCAAUUAUUUUGUCAAACCUUCAUGAAAUUUUACGAAAGUUGGACAGAAGCUUGUUAUUCUCAAAAGAGUAUCCAGACCUUAAUGAUGAAUUUACAUUUUUGAUUUCCCCGUAUUUUACUGAUAAUAGGAAUUUCUGUUUGCAGUUAACAAGUAGAUAGUCUGUGGUUGAAGUUUGUACCCUCCAUCGAAUUUUAUGAAACUUUGGCAUAAGCUUUUUUGUGAUUCAUGUCUGAAGUAAAAUUUUGAAAAUAUAUUUUUUUUCGUUUUUCAAUUAGAAGUUAACAGACGCUCUGUGAUUAUGAUUUUUUUACAUGAUAAUUUUGAAAAACUUCAGAUAUUGUCAUGAGACUUGGGUAGAAGUUAAUAGUCCAGA